GCUUGUCUCAAAGAUUAAGCCAUGCAUGUCUUAGUGUAAAUAACUCUUAUGAAACUGCGAAUGGCUCAUUAAAUCAGUUAUCGUUUAUUUGAUGGUCCCUUACUACAUGGAUAACCGUAGUAAUUCUAGAGCUAAUACAUGCACAAAGGCCCGACUCACGAAGGGCUGUAUUUAUUAGAUCAAAACCAAACGGCUUCGGCCGUCUCAUUGGUGACUCUGAAUAACUUUGGGCUGAUCGUAUGGCCUUGUGCCGACGACGUUUCCUUCGAAGGUGUGCCCUAUCAACUGUCGACUGUGAUAUAGACGCUCACAGUGGUUUUGACGGGUAACGGGGAAUCAGGGUUCGAUUCCGGAGAGGGAGCCUUAAAAACGGCUACCACAUCCAAGGAAGGCAGCAGG
rnacentral:rRNA from 1 species